rnacentral:rRNA from 1 species
UGAGUAAUGUCUGGGAAACUGCCCGAUGGAGGGGGAUAACUACUGGAAACGGUAGCUAAUACCGCGUAACGUCUUCGGACCAAAGUGGGGGACCUUCGGGCCUCACACCAUCGGAUGUGCCCAGAUGGGAUUAGCUAGUAGGUGGGGUAAUGGCUCACCUAGGCGACGAUCCCUAGCUGGUCUGAGAGGAUGACCAGCCACACUGGAACUGAGACACGGUCCAGACUCCUACGGGAGGCAGCAGUGGGGAGUAUUGCACAAUGGGCGCAAGCCUGAUGCAGCCAUGCCGCGUGUAUGAAGAAGGCCUUCGGGUUGUAAAGUACUUUCAGUGGGGAGGAAGGCGUUAAGGUUAAUAACCUUGGCGAUUGACGUUACCCGCAGAAGAAGCACCGGCUAACUCCGUGCCAGCAGCCGCGGUAAUACGGAGGGUGCAAGCGUUAAUCGGAAUUACUGGGCGUAAAGCGCACGCAGGCGGUCUGUCAAGUCGGAUGUGAAAUCCCCGGG